CUUGAUGGCGACCGGCGCACGGGUGCGUAACGCGUAUGCAACCUACCUGUAACAGGGGGAGUAACACUGAGAAAUCGGUACUAAUACCGCAUAACACUAUGAGAGGCAUCUCUUGUGGUUGAAAGUUUCGGCGGUUACAGAUGGGCAUGCGUUGUAUUAGCUGGUUGGUAAGGUAACGGCUUACCAAGGCGACGAUACAUAGGGGGACUGAGAGGUUAACCCCCCACCAUUGGUACUGAGACACGGACCAAACUCCUACGGAAGGCAGCAG
rnacentral:rRNA from 1 species